rnacentral:lncRNA from 1 species
GCUGCUGCUGCUGCUGCUGCUGCUGCUGCUGCUGCGGUGGCGGUGUCUCGCCUGCCGGUAAGGGCCCUUUGCACGGGAGCCUGAACGAGUGCAGCUGGAGCAGCCAGCAACCGUCUUCAGCAUCAUCGUUCCCACUCAGGAGCAGAGUUCUAGGGCACCUCGGGCCAAACUUACUACCUGGCAGCACCAUAGUGACUUUUUUAAAAAGACAACUAAGACAGCAAGAGGAGUCCUUGAAUUGCUUUUAAAGGAAUUCCUAAGCAUUCUAACUUACCC